AUUCUUGGUCAUUUAGAGGAAGUAAAAGUCGUAACAAGGUUUCCGUAGGUGAACCUGCGGAAGGAUCAUUAGCGAGUAUGGCCCUCACGGGUCUAAUCCAUCAUAAACACCUUUGUGAACCAGUCAGGGGGACUCGGCCGUGAAAGCCCAGGCGAUUAGCGGAAGGGCCCUCCUUUGCAAACCCGUCUAGAAGUCUUGAAAGUACUUUUGUAUAACCUAGUAAAACUUAUAGCAACGGAUCUCUUGGCUCUCGUAUCGAUGAAGAACACAGCGAAAUGCGAUAAGUAAUGUGAAUUGCAGAAUUCAGUGAAUCAUCGAAUCUUUGAACGCACCUUGCGCUCCAUGGUAUUCCGUGGAGCAUGCCUGUUUGAGUGUCACGUUAACCCUCAUCCAUGUGGUGUCAAAACCGCAUGAAUGGAUUUGGACGCUGCCGUAGAGGCUCGUCUUAAUUGCAUUAGCUGUGCGCCCAUUAGUGUGCUCGGUGUCUGCCGUGGUAAUUCUCUCGGCUCGCCUUAUGCCACUUCCAGUGACGCUGCUUCUAAUGGUCCUUUGCGGACACGUCAUUAAAGCUUUGGCCUCAAAUCAGGUAGGACUACCCGCUGAACUUAAGCAUAUCAAUAAGCG
rnacentral:rRNA from 1 species